UUGUGCAAGUUGGCUCAGGAGAACUUAGAGUGGAAGGUUGAGGAUCUUUGUGAUGAAGAGAUGAAGAAAAGGACACAAAGGGAAGCAUUCAAAGGAAAGCAGCUGCCUCCACUGGCAGGUGACCCCAGGGAUGCAGUAGAAGGAAGCCUCCCACAGAGCCAGGCCAGGAAGACGGAUCAUCCCACCAGUCCUGGUCUUACAAGAGACGAAGACCUGAGAGAUGGCUUUGGAAAGGUAAGGGAUAAAGACAUGGAUGAGCAGACUUCCUUUGGGGUCCUUCAGGGUCCUUCAGAAUCCUUCAGAGUCCCUCAGAGUCCCUCAGAGCUGAGUUCUUGAGAAGCCAGGAACUGAGAAACAGCUGCCAUUCCUGGCCAUGAGUGUUAAGCAAGAGCAAUUACCCCUCCUUGCUGCGUAUUUGUUGCACAUGGUUUUUAUUCUGCUGCCAUGGCCUGUAGGAACUGAACUGCCUGCUCUCUGGUCAUGUGAGCUCUUCAUCUGUCUUGGAGCACUCGUAUGACUUUGGUGCUUCAAGCAGGGCUUCCUGUCAUAGGUUGCAGUUGGAGCAGUGUAAGGUUGUGGCCCUGAAGUCUUCCACCUCCCUGUGUGUAAUUGCCAAGAUGAGGGUAGAAGACAUUCUUCUGAAACACUUGGGAUGAAUAUGGAGCUGCAUUAAAGACGGUGGCACUCCAUGGACCCUGUGCUCCUGAUGAGAUGUUGUGUCUGGUUUGGGUGUCUCUGCUUACAUCUGUGAUGUAUUUCCAUUGCAACUAGAUCCGUGCUGCAUUGUGCAAGUUGGCUCAGGAGAACUCAGAGCAGAAGGAUGUGGAGGUUUUUGAGGAAGAGAUGAAGAAAAGGACACAAAGGAAAACAUCCUUGCAGCUGCCUCCACUGUCAGGUGACCCCAGGGAUGCAGCAGAAGGAAGUAUGUGUCUACACUUGUGGUCCUUUUUGACCAUUUGCUUGCCCUUUGCACAAUGCUGCAAUCAGACUGGGGGGCUGUGCUGCUUGCAUCUGAGUGGAAGACCGAAGAGGAGUUAGUUCUGUUCCCCAAAGAAAUAUACAGAGGCCCAUGGCCGCACUAAGUCAAUAACAGAAUAUCAGCUUCCCACCUUUACCUCCUAAGUUUUUCAGAGCAGAAAACUUUGUCUUGCAAAGUUGAAUGGGUCUUCAGACUCUCUCCUGGAGAGCAGCCUCCAGGGAAGGGGAGUCCAGAAGAAUGCUUCUCAGCCAUGGUGGAACUGGGAAGAAACAAAAUUCAACUGCUUCUAAUGAAAACACCAGAGAUCCUUCUCCUGCCACAGCCUGCUGAGGAGCUGGCACUGUAGAGCUGUGCUGA
rnacentral:lncRNA from 1 species